UGCAAGACUGGCAUUGAAAUGCAUUGCUCUGUGACAAGGGUCAGAACAAUGCAGCAAGGUUCUGCUUUCAGGAACUCAACCAACUAUGAAUAGAAACUAUUUGGGAAAACUAGAAACUUCUAAAAUGUAAAACUUGAAUUUGU
rnacentral:lncRNA from 1 species